rnacentral:rRNA from 1 species
UACGAAGGGUGCAAACGUUGCUCGGAAUUAUUGGGCGUAAAGCGCACGUAGGCGGCUUAGCAAGUCGGAAGUGAAAGCCCUCGGCUCAACCAAGGAAGUGCUUUCGAAACUGGCGAGCUUGAGUACGAAAGAGGAUCGCGGAAUUCCCGGUGUAGAGGUGAAAUUCGUGAGAUAUCGGGAGGAACACCGGUGGCGAAGGCGGCGAUCUGGGUCGAUACUGACGCGUGAGGUGGCGAAAGCGUGGGGAGCAAACAGG